GACGAACGCUGGCGGCGUGCUUAACACAUGCAAGUCGAACGGAAAGGCCCUGCUUGCAGGGUACUCGAGUGGCGAACGGGUGAGUAACACGUGGGUGAUCUGCCCUGCACUUCGGGAUAAGCCUGGGAAAAUGGGUCUAAUACCGGAUAGGAGCCAUUUUUAGUGUGAUGGUUGGAAAGUUUUUUCGGUGUAGGAUGAGCUCGCGGCCUAUCAGCUUGUUGGUGGGGUAAUGGCCUACCAAGGCGGCGACGGGUAGCCGGCCUGAGAGGGUGGACGGCCACAUUGGGACUGAGAUACGGCCCAGACUACUACGGGAGGCAGCAGUGGGGAAUAUUGCACGAUGGGCGCAAGCCUGAUGCAGCGACGCCGCGUGGGGGAUGACGGCCUUCGGGUUGUAAACUCCUUUCGCUAGGGACGAAGCUUUUGUGACGGUACCUAGAUAAGAAGCACCGGCUAACUACGUGCCAGCAGCCGCGGUAA
rnacentral:rRNA from 1 species